UGUACUACCGAUAACCGUUUGAGAGAAGGGAUGACACAGUAGGAUAAGCUAAGCACACUGUUGGUUAUGUGUGCCCAAGCAUUGAGGCAGUCAAAGUAGGCAAAUACGCUUUGAUAAUGCUGGGAUGGGAUGGGGAGCGAAAUUUAGUAGCGAAGUAGCUGAUUUCACACUGUCAAGAAAAGUCUCUAUCGAGGUUAAAGGUACCCGUACCGCAAACCGACACAGGUGGGUGA
rnacentral:rRNA from 1 species